CCAGACUUCUGCCCUGCAGGACCGGAAGCCCCCCCCUCAAGUGCAAGGCUCCCACCCUCCUGGGCUGAGAGCCCUGUGGAUGAGGAACCAGACCUUCCCCUCCCACACGCAAACACACACACACACACACACACACACACCCCCACACACACACCCCAAGUGCAGAGAAAAGAGGUGGGGUCCCUCUGGCCAAGCCCAGUCAGGGAUGGAGUGAGUUGGAGAUUACAGGUCAGGUGUCCCAGGGCCUAGACCAGUCAUGCAGAAAGCAGAACCCGCCCUCUCCCAGAGGACAGGGCGUUUGGGCCCUGGCAAGCUCUGGUUCCUGUCUCCACCACGUGUGGCCCCCAGGACCGGUGACCCGGGGCGGUCCAGCAUGCCUGACAGAGGCCCUCGUGUGUGCAGGGUAAGGGGCAGCCCAGGGCAGGUGGCAUCUAUGCAAGACAACAUCUAUGCGUCCCCCUGGCGCCCAGGACACGGGACCUGACCCAACCGGAAACAGCUUCCCCUCGGGCGCCAAGGGCAGCUGAGUGAGGAUGCAGGCAGAAUUUGUGGCAGUGGUCCUGGGGGGAUGCUCCCAGGAGAAGGGGAUCAGCCGUGGCCUCCUUCUCCCCUUCCUGAAGCCCAUUCCAGCGUCUGCUCUCCCCCUUCUCAGGAUGGCAUAAGCAGGACGGAGGAUACCCCCCCCAACUGCUGGGGCCCCAGAGGGAGCCUGCGUCUCUCGGCUCCGGCAGCCGGAAUGAAGGCUGCGCUAGCUGUUACUCAGAUCUGCAGUCUGUGCCAGGAGCUGGGCCUGAAGGAAGGAAGGUCCUUGCAGAUCCUUUCAAAGUUCGGGCGGGGCAUCCCGGUGGAAAAUAGCUACAAUGUUAUGCCGAUGCUCUCAGUUGAUUGAAACGAAGGCUUUAGACAUAGCUCAUGUCAGACACAACGGAAGAACAGAAGUGCUGAUAUGGGACAGACGUCCAUGGAUUGCAAAAUGCCUGCAUCCCGGAGACGGAUCUCACUGGCGCACGGUGCAUGAUCCUUUUCGUGCGUUGUUGCAUUCUGUUUGCUCAUGUUUUGUUGAGGACGUUUGCAUCUGUAUAGUCAUCCAUGAUCUUGAUCUGUGCGCUUCUUUUUCGUGGUGUCUUUGGUUUGGGCAUCCGGGUGAUGGCGGCCUCAUAGCAU
rnacentral:lncRNA from 9 species